rnacentral:rRNA from 1 species
CACGUAGGGCGCAAGCGUUGUCCGGAAUUAUUGGGCGUAAAGAGCUCGUAGGUGGUUUGUUACGUCUGCUGUGAAAACCUAGGGCUUAACCCUGGGCUUGCAGUGGAUACGGGCAGGCUAGAGGUAGGUAGGGGAGAAUGGAAUUCCUGGUGUAGCGGUGAAAUGCGCAGAUAUCAGGAGGAACACCGGUGGCGAAGGCGGCGUCCUGGUCCGACACUGACGCUGAGACGCGAAAGCGUGGGGAGCGAACAGG